rnacentral:rRNA from 1 species
CAAUAGCGUAUAUUAAAGUUGUUGCGGUUAAAAAGCUCGUAGUUGGAUUUCUGCCGAGGACGACCGGUCCGCCCUCCGGGUGAGUAUCUGGCUCGGCCUGGGCAUCUUCUUGGAGAACGUAGCUGCACUUGGCUGUGUGGUGCGGUAUUCAGGACUUUUACUUUGAGGAAAUUAGAGUGUUUCAAGCAGGCAUACGCCUUGAAUACAUUAGCAUGGAAAAAUAAGAUAGGACCUCGGUUCUAUUUUGUUGGUUUCUAGAUCUGAGGUAAUGAUUAAUAGGGAUAGUUGGGGGCAUUCGUAUUUAACUGUCGGAGGUGAAAUUCUUGGAUUUGUUAAAGACGGACUACUGCGAAAGCAUUUGCCAAGGAUGUUUUCAUUGA